UCUCUGGCGGUCCAGUGGCUAGGACUCAGUGCUUUUACCCCUAAGGCCCAGGUUCAGUCCCUGGUCAGGGAA
rnacentral:tRNA from 1 species